rnacentral:misc_RNA from 1 species
UCUAAGCCAUUUGCUUCCAUAACCAAUUGUUGACUCCGAGGAUUGUUCUGUACAAUGGUGGUUACAACCUCAGCAGCCUUUGCCCGAAUGUUGGCAUGAGAGUUCUUUAGAUAAGCAAGGAGCGGGACCAAACCUCCAAUUGAGUGUAGAUCAUUUGCCAUGUCAAUAGAUUCAACAUGCUCUUGCAGUUCAUCCAACAUAUCUUCAAUAUCAGCAGGAGCAAUUCCCUGAGCCUCCAAGACUUGCUCUGGGGUUUGCAUGACGAGAGUUAUCUCCUUCAUGCGUUUGAUGACAUCAACAGUCUGCGCUUGCAUAGCUUCCAUAAACCAU